UACGAACCGUGCGAACGUUGUUCGGAAUCACUGGGCUUAAAGGGUGCGUAGGCGGGUUCCCAAGUCCGGGGUGAAAUCUUUCGGCUUAACCGGAAAAUAGCCUCGGAUACUGGGAGUCUUGAGGGAGGUAGGGGCAGCUGGAACUUCCGGUGGAGCGGUGAAAUGCGUUGAUAUCGGAAGGAACGCCGGUGGCGAAAGCGAGCUGCUGGACCUCUUCUGACGCUGAGGCACGAAAGCCAGGGGAGCAAACGGG
rnacentral:rRNA from 1 species